AGUGAACGCUGGCGGUAGGCCUAACACAUGCAAGUCGAACGGCAGCACAGUAAGAGCUUGCUCUUACGGGUGGCGAGUGGCGGACGGGUGAGGAAUACAUCGGAAUCUACUUUUUCGUGGGGGAUAACGUAGGGAAACUUACGCUAAUACCGCAUACGACCUACGGGUGAAAGCAGGGGAUCUUCGGACCUUGCGCGAUUGAAUGAGCCGAUGUCGGAUUAGCUAGUUGGCGGGGUAAAGGCCCACCAAGGCGACGAUCCGUAGCUGGUCUGAGAGGAUGACCGGCCACACUGGAACUGAGCACCGGUCCAGCCCCCUCGGGGAGGCGGCGGUGGGGAAUUUUGAACAAGGGGCGCAGGCCUGACCCAGCCAUCCCGCGGGGGGGAAAAAGGCCUUCGGGUUGUAAACCCUUUUUGUUGGGAAAAAAAAGCAGCAGGUUAAUCCCCCGCUUUUCUGACGUUCCCCAAAAAAUAAGCCCCGGCUAACUUCGUC
rnacentral:rRNA from 1 species